ACUCAACAAGUAUCUAUUAUAAAGGAUAAGUCUCGGUUGCUAAAGCAUGCCACUAUUACUAUUUAUUUAGUAUUUUAGGUGGAUCCUUGAUCAGCUGGUUAGUCCUAAACCUGUAAUAAUGGAGUUU
rnacentral:sRNA from 2 species